rnacentral:rRNA from 1 species
CAUGUCUUUUUGAUAAUAAUUUAAGGUUUGAUCUGCUCAAUGAUUUUUAAAUAGCCGCAGUAUUUUGACUGUGCUAAGGUAGCAUAAUAACUAGUUUCUUUAUUGGGAACUUGAAUGAAUGAUUGGACAAGAGGUUGGCUGUCUCUUUUUAAUUUUUUUUGAAUUUAACUUUUAGGUUAAAAGGCCUAAAUUUUUCUUAAAGACGAGAAGACCCUAUAGAGUUUUAUUUUGUUAAUAAAUUUCUUUUUUUUAGUAUUUAUUUUUUUAUUUUUAUUAUAAUUUAGUUGGGGUGACUAUAAGAUUUAAUUAACUCUUUUUGUUUUAUUCACUGAUUUGUGAUUAUUUUGUCUAAUUUUUUUAAUUUUAAAAUAAAUUACCUUAGGGAUAACAGCGUAAUUUCUUUUUAUAGUUCUUAUUGAAGGAGAAGUUUGCGACCUCGAUGUUGGAUUAAAGUUAAAUUUUGGUGUAGAAGCUUUUAUUUUAAGUCUGUUCGACUUUUUAAACUUUACGUGAUCUGAGU